GAGAGAAGCUUGCUUCUCUUGAGAGCGGCGGACGGGUGAGUAAUGCCUAGGAAUCUGCCUGGUAGUGGGGGAUAACGUCCGGAAACGGACGCUAAUACCGCAUACGUCCUACGGGAGAAAGCAGGGGACCUUCGGGCCUUGCGCUAUCAGAUGAGCCUAGGUCGGAUUAGCUAGUUGGUGAGGUAAUGGCUCACCAAGGCGACGAUCCGUAACUGGUCUGAGAGGAUGAUCAGUCACACUGGAACUGAGACACGGUCCAGACUCCUACGGGAGGCAGCAGUGGGGAAUAUUGGACAAUGGGCGAAAGCCUGAUCCAGCCAUGCCGCGUGUGUGAAGAAGGUCUUCGGAUUGUAAAGCACUUUAAGUUGGGAGGAAGGGCAUUAACCUAAUACGUUAGUGUUUUGACGUUACCGACAGAAUAAGCACCGGCUAACUCUGUGCCAGCAGCCGCGGUAAUACAGAGGGUGCAAGCGUUAAUCGGAAUUACUGGGCGUAAAGCGCGCGUAGGUGGUUUGUUAAGUUGGAUGUGAAAG
rnacentral:rRNA from 2 species